UCUACAAGGCUCAAAGUACAACAUAAUUGAUGACAUCUGUGUCCAAAUUCCCAUUUCCAUGACUUCCUGGGUUGUUUAUUUGAAAAAUUUCCUCAGAUGAUGGCAGUUAAGAUUUUUAUGAAAUGCAGAAUUCUCUCUUCAUUCCUUGCUCUGAACAAGUCUUUAAGUAAUUUUUUCCAAUAUGUGAGUUGUUAGGUUUAUUAUUUUUGGCUUUUGUCUGUUAUUUUGCUUUGCUUGAUUAAUAAUCAAAUAUUUGGCAAUAUUUCCUUGACCUAGUAAAAUAUGUGAUUUACUUUACUCAAUGAUGUAUACAGAUAAUGAUUAAACUCACAGUAAUUGAAGUCUAA